GCAACUGGGGUAUACUCUGUAUAUAAUCAGAAAUAAAUCUAGCUUGUAGUGCCACAAUAAUGGACUAGUAGUAACUUUUUCGGAGGACAGUGAACUGGAUAAGUGUGCGGUGGCACAUAUAAUCCUACUGCAGCAGAAAUGAUCUAGUCCUUGCCUACAUAUUGUAGCUUGGCUUGCUCCCUGUCCAUAGCUAAUUCACGCAUCAGUUCAGAAUCAGAAUAAGCGUCAUAAAACAUCAGUUCAAAAUCCUUUAACAUCUUGACUACAAGCUGAAGUAUGAUUAUGUAGGAGGGAGGCUCUUUUCAGAAAAAAAAAAUAGAAUCAAACGUGGUACUCUGUUCUUGUUAAUUAAUUGCAGUCUUGUGUAAAACUGAAGAGUUAGAAAUUAUUCAUAUUGUGGCU
rnacentral:lncRNA from 1 species